UGCAGUCGAGGGGUAACAGGGAAGCUUGCUUCCGCUGACGACCGGCGCGCGGGUGCGUAACGCGUAUGCAACCUACCUCUUACAGGGGAAUAGCCCGAAGAAAUUCGGAUUAAUACCCCAUGGUAUUACAGAUUCGCAUGAUGAAGUAAUUAAAGAUUUAUCGGUAAGAGAUGGGCAUGCGUCUGAUUAGAUUGUUGGUGAGGUAACGGCUCACCAAGUCGACGAUCAGUAGGGGUUCUGAGAGGAAGAUCCCCCACACUGGCACUGAGAUACGGGCCAGACUCCUACGGGAGGCAGCAGUAGGGAAUAUUGGUCAAUGGAGGCAACUCUGAACCAGCCAUGCCGCGUGUAGGAAGAAUGCCUUCUGGGUUGUAAACUACUUUUAUAUAGGAAGAAAACGCCAUGCGUGGUAAUAUGACGGUACUAUAUGAAUAAGCACCGGCUAACUCCGUGCCAGCAGCCGCGGUAAUACGGAGGGUGCAAGCGUUGUCCGGAUUUAUUGGGUUUAAAGGGUGCGUAGGCGGUUUAUUAAGUCGGAGUUGAAAUCCCACAGCUUAACUGUGGAACUGGCUCCGAUACUGGUUAACUUGAGUAUGGUUGAGGUAGGCGGAAUUUAAGAUGUAGCGGUGAAAUGCAUAGAUAUCUUAAAGAACACCAAUUGCGUAGGCAGCUUACUGGACCAUAACUGACGCUGAGGCACGAAAGCGUGGGUAGCGAACAGGAUUAGAUACCCUGGUAGUCCACGCCGUAAACGAUGAUUACUCGAUGUCUGCGAUACACUGUAGGCGUCCAAGCGAAAGCA
rnacentral:rRNA from 1 species